rnacentral:tRNA from 1 species
GGAAAAGUGCCUGAAGUUAAAGGGUUACUUUGAUAGAGUAAAUCAUGAGAGCUAAACCUCUCCUUUUCCU